rnacentral:rRNA from 1 species
UGGGGAAUAUUGCACAAUGGGCGAAAGCCUGAUGCAGCAACGCCGCGUGAGUGAUGAAGGUCUUCGGAUUGUAAAGCUCUGUCUUUUGGGACGAUAAUGACGGUACCAAAGGAGGAAGCCACGGCUAACUACGUGCCAGCAGCCGCGGUAAUACGUAGGUGGCGAGCGUUGUCCGGAUUUACUGGGCGUAAAGGGUGCGUAGGCGGAUGUUUAAGUGAGAUGUGAAAUACCCGGGCUUAACUUGGGUGCUGCAUUUCAAACUGGAUAUCUAGAGUGCAGGAGAGGAGAAUGGAAUUCCUAGUGUAGCGGUGAAAUGCGUAGAGAUUAGGAAGAACACCAGUGGCGAAGGCGAUUCUCUGGACUGUAACUGACGCUGAGGCACGAAAGCGUGGGUAGCAAACAGGAUUAGAUACCCUGGUAGUCCACGCCGUAAAACGAUGAGUACUAGGUGUAGGAG